UUUAGGUUUUUCAAGUGCACUACGGGGCACCCACUCCAAUCCUGGAUAUUUUUUUUUUUUUUUUUUUCCCUCAAAAUAGAAGCAUACAUAUACGUGAGUUACAUUCAGUUAUUGUAUGAGUUAUACUGUUUUAUCAAUGUUUGUCUUCUCUUCUUUGGAACACAAGUAACCAGGUGAGUCUGUAAAUAUCUGGUGUAAAUGUAAAAGAUGCUCAGUAUGAUUUAUUCUCUUCAAAAUGGAAAAUAAGCAAUAUUACCUGAAGAAGUGAAGAAUGGGAUGAAAUGUGAAUUAUUCUUAACCAAAAAGCAAGUAAGUGUGUACUUCUCUGUUUCCUUUUUUAUUUGUGAAUCUUGUGUUAUUGUAAAUGAUUUGUAAUGCUCUGUUCCUAGGCUGCGUGUAUGAUUGAUAAGUAUACAGAUGUCAGCCUAGUAAGAUUAUCACAUUAAAAAAGAUAAUCAGAGAUAAAUGGAAAGCACUCACUGGCAUUGCAAGCUCACAAGAAAAUCUAUGAGGAAAGGUCUCCAGAGAGGGCUCCUUCCUCAGUGGAAGUCAGCCCUUAAAUGGAGUCUAGGAGAGGUGGAGCCAGGCUCCACCCCUUUCGAUCACGCAGAUGAAUUGCCUUCACUUGUGCUCCUGUGACUGACUCAUUGCUUGCCUCAGGUGGUCAAUCAGAGGUUCAGGCUAUGAUCCAACAGUUCCUCUACACUGUGUAUGAUUUUAUUUUGUGGAGCUAUAUAGAUAAGGGUUAAAGCUAAAUGCAGUUAGAAUUUAUAAAUCAAUUCUAAAUUUUUUUAACAUAUGGAUUGAUUAAUAAUUUUAUAGUAUUCCCAUUAAUCAUUAAGAAAAUACUAAACAAUACUCAUUUUCAUUUAAUUAUGUGAAAAGCCUGGUGGUGUUCAGUAUUGUAUCAUUCAGAUUUGAAACUUUGUAGAUAUGUAGGGAAAAAAAGUGGCAUAUAGUUAUCUUUUUAAGAAAGUGUAGUUUUUUAGCAUUAGAACUGUACAUUCUUUCUUUUUCCUUAUGUUUCACUGGAAGGUAAACUCAGAACCUACCUGUGAGGAGUGAGUCAUGUAGAAGUAACAUGCUAGUUCUCCUAGCGAGAACAGUCAUGGGUUUUAUCUUGCAUAACGCUAAUAAAUGUUAUCUUGAACUGCCAUAAACUGAAAGACUGAUUCCUGUAUGCAAGAGGCAGCAGAGCAAAGGAGACGCUUAAUCUAUGGAUUGCCAUUAUCUUAAGCUUACCAUAUAUCUGUCUCGUGGAUGUAUACCUGUGGCAACUGUAAUCAGAAGAGAGAUUAUUGUCUAUGUAUUCAUAGGGGGAGAAACUUUAAACUUGAAAUAUAUCUUUAGAAAGUAUUUUGGCUUUCUACAACAAAUUUCUGUCAGUGUACGUGUAGGUUGAAUGAAGAAGACCAUGGGUUUUCACUCCUGCCGUGGAUAAAAAUGGGAUUUGCUAGCAUUAAUAAUAUGCUAAUAUAAGGCACUUAGCUAGUCAUCCUUUAAAUAGGCACAUAAUGUACAGUAGCUUUUCAUGUCUACCACUGGAUUGCUAUGGUAUUGGAAGAAAGUGUAUGAUGAUGACUGUGAAUUGCCACAUUUUGGGAUUUACUAGGUGGGAAAUUGAAGUUAGUUCUAAAAAUUAGCGUAUCAGUUCUAUCGUUUGGACACAGCAGGUAAAAGCUAGGAAGAAGAGAGGAAAUUGAUUUGUUACUUGAGAUACUUGUGGUAGCAUUUUAAUCUUUGACUAAGCUAUUUUCAAUAAACUCUGCUGGAUGUAACUUAAUUUGAAUCAGACCUGUAAGAUUAGAUGAUCUGUAAGACAUAAAUAUCUUCAACUCCAGCUGAAGUCAGUGGUACUCUGUAGGGUCUGUGUUUGAUAUUUAACUUUUUCAAUUGGAUACUCCUGUGUAGUGGAAAUGCUGAGUCAUGACCUGAAGCAGUGAUUGAGCACCUGGUGGGAAGGCAGGGCCAACCCAGGGGAGCUCAGGUGCAUGCAAUGUUUCUGAGUGACUGGAAGGAGUAGAGCCAGGAUCCACCCCUUUCAGACCUCAUUUCAAGGUUGGCCAUGGAGGUUGGCCAUCUUGUUGGAGAUUCCUGUUUGCUUGAGGCUCUCUGAAGUAUUUCCUCAUGAUCGCUGUUAUGAAACGAGUGAAGGCCUGCAGAAAUAACUGUUAUCUGAGGACACGAAGCUUGACUGAAAGGAAGAACCUGCAUUAACUCUGAAGCUAUUGUCUCUUUUGCUCUCUGUUUUGUUGGAAGGUAUCUUCUCUGUUUGACUGAGAAGGCAAGAUUCUCAACGCCUAACUGCAGCUGUUAAGAACUUGAUUAGUCUUGCUUACCAUCACUGAGUAAGAAGGGCUUCUGUCUUCCAGUAUUCAACAAACCUGCUGAGUGAUUAUGCUACACUAGCUAGCUUGGACUUGGCAUAAAAAAUCUAUCAGAUGCUUCUGUUCAUUUAUUGCUUGUUUACUAUAUUUUGUUUUCUGUGGCUUGUGCCAUUUUUGAGAUCUUACAUUUUUAUGUAAAUCAACUUUACGUUAUUUGGAGAUGGUUUUUCGGUUGAAAAAAAAACAACCCCAAGACCCUUA